rnacentral:rRNA from 1 species
CAGCCGCCGCGGUAAUACAGAGGGUGCGAGCGUUAAUCGGAUUUACUGGGCGUAAAGCGUGCGUAGGCGGCUAAUUGAGUCGGAUGUGAAAUCCCCGAGCUUAACUUGGGAAUUGCAUUCGAUACUGGUUAGCUAGAGUGUGGGAGAGGAUGGUAGAAUUCCAGGUGUAGCGGUGAAAUGCGUAGAGAUCUGGAGGAAUACCGAUGGCGAAGGCAGCCAUCUGGCCUAACACUGACGCUGAGGUACGAAAGCAUGGGGAGCAAACAGGAUUAGAGACCCCUGUAGUCCCUGUCUCUUAUAC